rnacentral:rRNA from 1 species
GGAUCGAAUUGUCGGUCGUGCUUCGGUACGCACUGGCAUUAUCGGCUUCUACCUUCUGAAGAACCGCGAUGUCAUUAAUUUGGUGUCGUGGGGAAUCAGGACUGUUACUUUGUAAAAUUAAGAGUGUUUAAAGUACAGGCUUACGCUUGAAUACAUUAGCAUGGAAUAAUGAAAUAGGACGUUUGUAUUCUAUUUUGUUUGGUUUCUAGGAUCGACGUAAUGAUUAAUAGGGAUAGUUGGG